GGAAUAUGCUCAACGAAAGUGAAUCAGCUUCGGCUGAGAGCUAAGUUCC
rnacentral:misc_RNA from 1 species